CCUACGGGAGGCAGCAGUAGGGAAUCUUCCGCAAUGGACGAAAGUCUGACGGAGCAACGCCGCGUGAACGAUGAAGGCCUUCGGGUCGUAAAGUUCUGUUGUUAGGGAAGAACAAGUGCUAGUUAAAUAAGCUGGCACCUUGACGGUACCUAACCAGAAAGCCACGGCUAACUACGUGCCAGCAGCCGCGGUAAUACGUAGGUGGCAAGCGUUGUCCGGAAUUAUUGGGCGUAAAGCGCGCGCAGGCGGUUUCUUAAGUCUGAUGUGAAAGCCCCCGGCUCAACCGGGGAGGGUCAUUGGAAACUGGGAAACUUGAGUGCAGAAGAGGAAAGUGGAAUUCCAAGUGUAGCGGUGAAAUGCGUAGAGAUUUGGAGGAACACCAGUGGCGAAGGCGACUUUCUGGUCUGUAACUGACGCUGAGGCGCGAAAGCGUGGGGAGCAAACAGGAUUAGAUACCCUGGUAGUCCACGCUGUAAACGAUGAGUGCUAAGUAGUUAGUAGGGUUUCGGUCCCUUACGUUGCUGAAGUUAACGUCAUUAAGUCACUCCGCCCUGGGGAGGUACGGUUCGCAAGACUGAAACUUAAAGUAGAAUUCGGACGG
rnacentral:rRNA from 1 species